AAUUUAUUUAAAAAAUAAAUUGGGAUUAAUAAGAGGCAACAUCCAUACCUAAAACUAUGUAACCUAAACGGUAACGAUAACCAGGGAAAACAACCGCUUUCCUCUCCGGGCAAUAUCUGCCAAGCGUCAAUGUCAAACUGCCAAUAUAAUCCUAUUUUGCUAAGCCGACAUUCUUCAGUUAUCAGCAAAAGCUAGCCAAAUCUUAUCUCAGUUCACUCUGGUUUCAACGGUCUUCGAGACAACAUAAAAGGAAAAUAAUUUUUCGUACACGCGAGAAUGCCCGCGCUAUCUUUUUCUCGGAUAUAUCGAAGCUUCCAAGUCCCGACGUUCAGAACCUGGGAAACGGCUACUUUCUAUCCACAUCAGAUCUGUUCGACUUUAAACCGGUGAGUGCGUUUCAUAUUCUCAUUAUACUUAAGCGCGUUAUGUUAUCCGCUGAAGUUGCUACGAACAGCAUAAACCUACCAAUAUCCGUCCAUGGUAGAACAUUUUUGGAGCCAUACUACGUGCGUAAUUCGAGCACAUGCCAUGAACUGUUCGCCUUCUGUCAGCUCCAUUUAUUUUAUCAACAUGAUAGCUAUUGCGCGACUUGCUCUUACGAGGCAUUGAUUAUGAAAACGCAGGUCUAAGCCCAGGGUUAACAUGUGUUAGGCGAUAAUUUUAUAUGUACAAUAUAAUCCUAUAUGUAUAUAUUUGUCAUUUACAAGUAAUAUCAUGCACUUCCUCAAAAAAACCCCCCAAAAAACCCCUGCUUUCAGGAUGAAACAUUCGGCUACAUGCAUUAAAUGAGUCGUCCUAUACACGUACACGCUAUAGUCUGAAAUUAUACCCAAAACACAGUUUAAGCAGUUAGGUACAUGUCACAUGCUUCUGCGUCCAUCGACCACAAUUUUAUCGUAUAGUUAUAUACAGUAUGCCCCUAUUUAUAACAUAUUUUGCUUGAAAGCAGCUACAUUUGCGCCCAUUCCUCGAUAUGGCCAGUCAAAUUAUGCCAGUUCGCAGAAUACUUUCAUCUUAUAAUCUAACUCCUUGUGGUGAGGUAUAUUCAUGUUGUUUCGUUUUCCCCGUGAUCCACAUUAACAAUUUUGUAAGAUUACGUAUCCUUUGCCUGACCCCAAAGUGGUAAUUAUAUAAAUAGACUUCAUUACUCUGUAACUCAAUUUAAGAUAUCUUAAAACUGUAGCGCUAGCCAGCUAUACAAGCCAAUUUGAAGCAUGCAUAUAGCAAACAAUACGCUAUACACAAAUCUCUAGGUUAUAAUAUAUGUACUGUACCAAAUCAUAUAUCUCAAUCAGGGACAUCAGGAAUAAAUUUACAAACUACCUUGCACAUAUAAACCUCAGCCACGACACGCGUGUAUGGAUCGAAAACAAGAUAUACAGAACACCCUACACACGCAUUAUACAUACAUUAUGCCUUACUAUACAGUCAAUAUCUCACGAUAUGGUCUACUCUCCAAACCCGGUGAAGACCCAAGAAAUCAUUAACCAAAUACCGCCCAUAAAAGAUUGCACAACGCAAAAUCCCAAACUCCUGUAUCAACCGAGGUAUAAAAUUACAAACUGGCAGAGGAAAUACUGCUAGUGAAAGAAUUUAAAGAUCGUCGGUUUCUCACUCGUUCAGGAAGGCUCAGUACAGAUUUUAACUCCACUGUAGGGGAAACAUUUCUUGCCAUGCACACUCGAUAUUGGUCGUGGCAAAAUACAUGAAGCCUUAAUUCGCUGGCGGAGGUAUAUGCAGUUGGGUUAGACAUUUUUAUUGCUGACAUUCCGCUUUCAUGGGUUUCUGCAUAUUCUGACUGGAAAUUGCGUGGCCGAGAUUUCGAAAUUGAAUAGUAAAUAUAUGGAAAGCAUCAAAAUUGCUUGUACGUCAUGUUGCCAUUUAACUGUCAGAAAAAUACAACAUUCUCCUGUACGUACAAAAAACCCAGUCUCACAAAAUACGUCAACAGCGAUUUUCGCAUUUGAUACCACAAAUGGCACGCGCUGCAAUAUUGAAAUACUAAUGCAUGACAUGUCACCCUUAUUUGCAAGGCGUUUUUUACAAACACCCAGUACAUAGUAGGUACCUAUAUAGCCUAUACCAAACCAAAAGGUUUACGGCAUAUUUCACCAGAUGAAGACAAUUCCUAGUACUAUAUACACUGUUAUUUCAGACGUUAUUUGCUACUAUAUGCCAUCGCGUAUACACCCCACGUGCAGUUAGAACUAAAUAUACUUCACAGUCCACUACAGUGCAUCACACGCCGAGACAAAGGCGAAAUUAAGGAGUAGUAGAGCACUCGCAUCCCACUCCAUAUUUAUUCGUCGCGCAUCGAGACAACCUAUAUGAUCGGCCAGCUCAUGAUUACACAGAGCAGUUUCUGCUUUUCUCCGUCUCUCUUUUAGUCAUUCUGCUACAAACGAAGGAAGGACACGAAGACAAUCUCAGGAUUUGCGCCAUCUUGGUUUCCGCCUUAUCUAUCUGGAUCACGCCUACGUCCUAAUGGCUAUGAACUCUCUACGUAUAUAUGAACUAUAUUUAUGACAUAAUCUAUAUUUUACUGUGAGGUGGCGUUCUGCUUGGAUUGCGACAAAUUAAUUCUGAUCGUUUUGUUCUCUUAUUUCUGCUCAAAAGCGUAGUUUCAAAAAAAAAAAAAGAAGAAAAAAAAAAGAAACCAAACCAAAAACAAUAAAACAAAUAAUGCGUACGUUAACAGAAUAGCGUAGUGGUGUCUAGCGCGAUACUGACAUUUCUUAAUUUGUAAAGAUAAAGCUUGUGGGGAGCUGCUGGUGGUCUUGGCCCUACCCAGGUUUUCCUGUACUGCAGGUUUUUUCCUGGCCUCCCUGAUUAUCCAGCCGUAGCAUAAGUGUUUGUAUCCCGUGGACACCAUAUAUCUUAUUUGCGCAGCACGCCAUCAUUACAUACUGUAAACCACACAUUUGUACCAUACUAAAUACUUCAUAUUAAUUACUUAUAUUUUUUCCCGACCACCAAGUUUCACGUGGGGGAUCUACACUUCGUUUCGACCAAUGGCGGAAAGUGGUGUCCACACGGCCACACUUCGCCCACGGUGAAGCACACACCGGCAAAAGAGAGCAAGGUCCAUAACGGCGGGGGCCCCUUACCCUCGUCCUGAUCUUCGCAUCUCUCGAUCACUUCACCACGGGGAAGCCCGGCUCGGACAUGAGAUUCAAUGUCCAUAACGGUGAGGGCCCCUUACUCUCACCCUGAUGUUGUUUCUCCAGCUUUUCUGGGGGCCCUUACCCCCAAGAAACCGCACUUUCCGUCACCCAAUUUGGCCACAAAGGAUUUGCGUGAUUUAUUAAGGAGCAAUUUAUUUAAAAAAUAAAUUGGGAUUAAUAAGAGGCAACAUCCAUACCUAAAACUAUGUAACCUAAACGGUAACGAUAACCAGGGAAAACAACCGCUUUCCUCUCCGGGCAAUAUCUGCCAAGCGUCAAUGUCAAACUGCCAAUAUAAUCCUAUUUUGCUAAGCCGACAUUCUUCAGUUAUCAGCAAAAGCUAGCCAAAUCUUAUCUCAGUUCACUCUGGUUUCAACGGUCUUCGAGACAACAUAAAAGGAAAAUCCCACCCACCCAACCCUUUAAUGAAGAAGAUGAUCCAAUAAUCAGGAACUAUAGAAACUUAAUUAAAUAUAGGAAAUCAAUUGUAAUCAUAUCUAUAUUGUUCUGUUUUAUCAACUUGUAAAUAAUUUUAUACAUUCAAGAAGAAAUAAAGAAAGCGGGACGGAAAGUGGUGUCCACACGGCCACACUUCGCCCACGGUGAAGCACACACCGGCAAAAGAGAGCAAGGUCCAUAACGGCAGGGGCCCCUUACCCUCGUCCUGAUCUUCGCAUCUCUCGAUCACUUCACCACGGGGAAGCCCGGCUCGGACAUGAGAUUCAAUGUCCAUAACGGUGAGGGCCCCGUACUCUCACCCUGUUGUUGUUUCUCCAGCUUUUCUGGGGGCCCCUUACCCCCAAGAAACCGCACUUUCCGUCACCCAAUUUGGCCACAAAGGAUUUGCGUGAUUUAUUAAUGGGAUUUAAAAAACCCGCGUUCAUUUCCGUUACGUGAAAAGACUGGGCAUGACAACAGUGGGCAUGCCUGGGCAUGGCUUCACAUUUCCGGCUGGAGGUAUCGUUCCAGUUAUUUUUAGUUCAAUGGGUAUACCUUCCUAUUCUGUGACUAGGCGUACUGUUCCAGUACUUCGUAUUAAUUAAUGUACAAUCUAAUUAUGUAAUUGCACAGAAAAUCUGUAUGUCCGUCUGUUCCAAAAAUGUAUUCCCCUCCAGUAAUAUUUACCACAGCCCUGCCCUGCAACAGAUAUACAGACAACCUCUCAGUGUGUGCAAUGCAUGACUCACACCCCAUCCCCCCCUGGUUUUAUCUAUUGUAUUGUCACAAUCUAAUUAUGUAAUUGCACAGAAAAUCUGUAUGUCCGUCUGUUCCAAAAAUGCAUUCCCCUCCAGUAAUAUUUACCACAGCCCUGCCCUGCAACAGAUAUACAGACAACCUCUCAGUGUGUGCAAUGCAUGACUCACACCCCAUCCCCCCCUUGUUUUAUCUAUUGUAUUGUCACAAUCUAAUUAUGUAAUUGCACAGAAAAUCUGUAUGUCCGUCUGUUCCAAAAAUGCAUUCCCCUCCAGUAAUAUUUACCACAGCCCUGCCCUGCAACAGAUAUACAGCCAACCUCUCAGUGUGUGCAAUGCAUGACCCACACCCCAUCCCCCCCUGGUUUUAUCUAUUGUAUUGUCACAAUCUAAUUAUGUAAUUGCACAGAAAAUCUGUAUGUCCGUCUGUUCCAAAAAUGCAUUCCCCUCCAGUAAUAUUUACCACAGCCCUGCCCUGCAACAGAUAUACAGACAACCUCUCAGUGUGUGCAAUGCAUGACUCACACCCCAUCCCCCCCUGGUUUUAUCUAUUGUAUUGUCACAAUCUAAUUAUGUAAUUGCACAGAAAAUCUGUAUGUCCGUCUGUUCCAAAAAUGCAUUCCCCUCCAGUAAUAUUUACCACAGCCCUGCCCUGCAACAGAUAUACAGACAACCUCUCAGUGUGUGCAAUGCAUGACCCACACCCCAUCCCCCCCUGGUUUUAUCUAUUGUAUUGUCACAAUCUAAUUAUGUAAUUGCACAGAAAAUCUGUAUGUCCGUCUGUUCCAAAAAUGCAUUCCCCUCCAGUAAUAUUUACCACAGCCCUGCCCUGCAACAGAUAUACAGACAACCUCUCAGUGUGUGCAAUGCAUGACCCACACCCCAUCCCCCCCUGGUUUUAUCUAUUGUAUUGUCACAAUCUAAUUAUGUAAUUGCACAGAAAAUCUGUAUGUCCGUCUGUUCCAAAAAUGCAUUCCCCUCCAGUAAUAUUUACCACAGCCCUGCCCUGCAACAGAUAUACAGACAACCUCUCAGUGUGUGCAAUGCAUGACCCACACCCCAUCCCCCCUGGUUUUAUCUAUUGUAUUGUCACAAUCUAAUUAUGUAAUUGCACAGAAAAUCUGUAUUUCCGUCUGUUCCAAAAAUGCAUUCCCCUCCAGUAAUAUUUACCACAGCCCUGCCCUGCAACACAUAUACAGACAACCUCUCAGUGUGUGCAAUGCAUGACUCACACCCCAUCCCCCCCUGGUUUUAUCUAUUGUAUUGUCACAAUCUAAUUAUGUAAUUGCACAGAAAAUCUGUAUGUCCGUCUGUUCCAAAAAUGCAUUCCCCUCCAGUAAUAUUUACCACAGCCCUGCCCUGCAACAGAUAUACAGACAACCUCUCAGUGUGUGCAAUGCAUGACUCACACCCCAUCCCCCCCUGGUUUUAUCUAUUGUAUUGUCACAAUCUAAUUAUGUAAUUGCACAGAAAAUCUGUAUGUCCGUCUGUUCCAAAAAUGCAUUCCCCUCCAGUAAUAUUUACCACAGCCCUGCCCUGCAACAGAUAUACAGACAACCUCUCAGUGUGUGCAAAGCAUGACUCACAGACCAUCCCCCCCUGGUUUUAUCUAUUGUAUUGUCACAAUCUAAUUAUGUAAUUGCACAGAAAAUCUGUAUGUCCGUCUGUUCCAAAAAUGCAUUCCCCUCCAGUAAUAUUUACCACAGCCCUGCCCUGCAACAGAUAUACAGACAACCUCUCAGUGUGUGCAAUGCAUGACCCACACCCCAUCCCCCCCUGGUUUUAUCUAUUGUAUUGUCACAAUCUAAUUAUGUAAUUGCACAGAAAAUCUGUAUGUCCGUCUGUUCCAAAAAUGCAUUCCCCUCCAGUAAUAUUUACCACAGCCCUGCCCUGCAACAGAUAUACAGACAACCUCUCAGUGUGCCAGUGUCUCAGUGAUCGGCCAGCUCAUGAUUACACAGAGCAGUUUCUGCUUUUCUCCGUCUCUUUUUUAGUCAUUCUGCUACAAACGAAGGAAGGACAUGAAGAAGAUCUCAGGACUUGCUAGUUCUCCUAUAUCUAUGGUAGUGAUGGGCGAUACCGAGUACUCGGUAUUCGAUACCAGCGAUACCACAAACUGCGGUAUCGGUAUCGAUUACUGACGUGGUAUCGUUCGAUACUUGCAUCCUUUUUUAAACGACUUGUUUAUUUUCUCUUCUUGGUUGAAUAAGACUUAAUGAACCACUAAAAUAACUCUUAAUAUUCCAAAUGUGGUGCGCCAAGUCAUGUAUAGAAAAUAUUUAUUACGUUUCGGGCUUUUGGUUUACAUAUAGCUUUAUUUAGGUUACACACAAUAAUUUAAAAUGUUUUUCCGCUGACCGGCAGGUAUUGAAAGUAGCCGAUACUAGCAAUUUAAGUACUCACUUCCGGUAUCGAAAAUUGAAAUUUUGUGUUCAUUUUGGUAUCGAAAUAGGUAUCGGUAUCGGCCGAUACUGAUCUUAAAAGUAUCGGUAUCGGUAUCGAAAUAAAAAUCCUGGUAUCGCCCAUCACUAAUCUAUGGUCCCAAGUGUCAUCGACAGGGGGGGGGGACUACCAUAUUUGGUGGUAAAAUUUUUUCAAAAAUACGCACUAAAUCCAAUUUUAAUCUCUUUACCUUCGCUACUUUUG